UAAAAUAGGGCUGGCAACAGGACCCGGCCCUUGCCCUUGUGAAAACGAAGCCGGCUGAUACCCAAGGCCUGACACAGAAUCAGCCCCCAUCCUGAGCCUGCAUCAGCCAAGAAGGAAAAAGAUUCCACAGCCAACUGCAAGUGAGUGAUGGGCCCGCGGGGGUUCCUUAGGCUAGUCUAUGUCUGGCUGUUAGAAAUGUUGCAUAAUAAUAAAAAGCUUAACGUCCUCGCCUGCAGGGAGGGGCUAUUAAAAAAAAGCAGCAGCGUGUCCCCCGGCCCCUAAAGGCCCACCUCGCUGCCUCUCUUUGUCUCCCCAAAGCCCAGCCCCCACAGCACUCUUGUCUGACUAGGAGGACUUGAGAGGCCUGGCAGUGCCCAGGGCAGGUCGGGAGGAGUUGGAGCCUGGGUAGGUGCAGCAAGGUGGUCUGCAGGAGAAGAGAGUCAAGUGCAGGCUGAGCCAGACCCUCAGGGCCUGGGCACUGGAGGGCAGGGCAGGACAGAGGAGGCGGGAGGCCCGGCUGCCCUGGCAGGUUGGCGAGCAGACGCUGGCUUCGUAGACUUCACCAGCAUAGAACACAAGGCUGCCUCUGCAGGAGACCUGGAUCCAUGGAAGGGAUGUGGUGGAGCCCCCUGCAAACUCCCCUGUCUAAGCCCCAGCUCCCUCUCUGCCCCACAGCCAGUGCCUUGAGCAAAU
rnacentral:lncRNA from 1 species